rnacentral:rRNA from 1 species
AUACGGAGGAUCCGAGCGUUAUCCGGAUUUAUUGGGUUUAAAGGGUGCGCAGGCGGCCAUUUAAGUCAGCGGUUAAAUCGUGGGGCUCAACCCCAUUCUGCCGUUGAUACUGGGUGGCUUGAUUGCGGUCGAGGUUGGCGGAAUUCGUUGUGUAGCGGUGAAAUGCAUAGAUAUGACGAAGAACACCGAUUGCGUAGGCAGCUGACCAGACCGCAAAUGACGCUCAUGCACGAAAGUGCGGGGAUCGAACAGGAUUAGAUACCCUGGUAGUCCACGCCGUAAACGAUGAGCACUAAGUGUCGGAUGAAUUUUCGGCGCUGCAGUUAACACAAUAAGUGCUCCGCCUGGGGAGUACGGUCGCAAGACUGAAACUUAAAGGAAUUGACGGGG